rnacentral:rRNA from 1 species
UACGUAGGGUCCGAGCGUUGUCCGGAAUUACUGGGCGUAAAGGGCGCGUAGGCGGCAAUUCAAGUCAGUUGUGAAAUCUCCGAGCUUAACUCGGAACGGUCAACUGAUACUGUUUUGCUAGAGUACAGAAAGGGCAAUCGGAAUUCUUGGUGUAGCGGUGAAAUGCGUAGAUAUCAAGAGGAACACCUGAGGCGAAGGCGGGUUGCUAGGCUGAUACUGACGCUGAGGCGCGAAAGCUAGGGUAGCAAACGGG